AUUGAACGCUGGCGGAAUGCUUUACACAUGCAAGUCGAGCGGCAGCGCGGGGCAACCUGGCGGCGAGCGGCGAACGGGUGAGUAAUGCAUCGGAACAUGUCCAUGUCGUGGGGGAUAGCCCGGCGAAAGCCGGAUUAAUACCGCAUACGCUCGAGAGAGGAAAGCCGGGGCCCGCAAGGCCUGGCGCGACUGGGUUGGGCGAUGUCCGGUUAGCUAGUUGGUGAGGUAAAGGCUUACCAAGGCGAUGAUCGGUAGCUGGUCUGAGAGGAUGAUCAGCCACACUGGGACUGAGACACGGCCCAGACUCCUACGGGAGGCAGCAGUGGGGAAUUUUGGACAAUGGGGGCAACCCUGAUCCAGCCAUUCCGCGUGAGUGAAGAAGGCCUUCGGGUUGUAAAGCUCUUUUGUCCGGAGCGAAACGGUUGUGGUGAAUAUCCACGACUACUGACGGUACCGGAAGAAUAAGCACCGGCUAACUACGUGCCAGCCGCCGCAGUAAAAC
rnacentral:rRNA from 1 species